AGGGAGAUGCGGUGAUGGCCGACGGCUGAAAGAUGGCCGAUCGAGUGCAGCCAUGGCAGACGCACGAGGGAGGCAGCAGCAAUCGGGAAGCUCGCGUCAAGGCCUUGCGAUGGAGGCCAGCGUUGCAGCAGCAGAAUGGAUCGGCGGUGCCAGCAGCUUCAAGAGGCUUCAGUCGUGGCAUUGGAAGCUCCAACGGCCGUCAAUGGCCGCUGGUUGCAGCGGGGCUGGUCGCGCAUAGGCAGGGCAUGCACGGGGGAGGCCGAUGGCAGUUGCGGCGGCGCGGGGAAUCGUCAGAGAGGGCCGGAGGUGCGGCCAUAGCAGCGUGAAGCUGCUGUUGCAGCAGCUAGGCGGCCAUGGCAGCGCGCAGCUACUGCAAGCAACGAAGCGGGCGAACGAUGGCAACGACUGAGGCGCGCGAGGAGGUUGGUUCCAGUGGCAGCGAAUCGCGGCAGAGGUGGUGGCCAGCCUGUGGCCGCGGGUAGCAGCGGCGGUCGGCGAGCCAGGUGUGGGUGGCGGCUGCCUUGUGCGAAGAAGAAGGAGGAAUAGUGCUCGGGCGUGGGAGAGAAGAAGAAAGGGGAAGAAGGAAUAGAAAGAAAAGAAAAAAAAAAGAAAGAAAUAUAAAAUAAGGAAAAAUAUGGAAAAUAAGGAAAAAUAGGAAAAAAUUUCAAAAAAUUUCCAGAAAAUUUUGAAAAUUAUUUCAAGGCUUGUGAAGCGUGUCGAAAGCUCGAAAAUGUGGUUUUGGGCGCAAGUGGCAGCUCGGGAGCCAAUGCCGGUGUGGGUGUCUGAUCGAUUUUCUCCUUCAAAUUAGUUGAGGUUCGGUCGGGUAGACGGUGAUCCUAGAAGAGCUCGGAGUUCGGGCUGGAGUUCGUGCCGAAGCCGAGAUGAGGCUUCGAGCCAGAUGAUGCAAGUCCAGAUGCAAGCAGGGAUGGUGCCGGGAGGCUAUUGUGGCAAUUAGCUUGUUGCCUGAGAUGUGUUGUUAUGUAAUCUCUUGUAUUCUUUUAUAUGUAUUCAUGGGUUUAAAUGUAAACGAUAUUGAGCACUAGAUGUACUUAAUUGUUGAAAUCAUCGUAGUGUGAUAAAUGAUUGUGAGAUUGUUCGUGGUAUAUGGCUUAGUUGGAGAAGCCGAGUUUCGGAUCGAGUAAAGAUCAGCAAGGUAUGUUCUCAUAAAUCCUCAAUACUCAGCGACGUGUUUUUAUGCUAGCUUUGUGCCUAGCUCACCUCUGGCUUGUUAUGGGCGAGCUGAAGAGAGGUGAAGCUCACUCGGGUUUUGGGUCUUGGUCCGCUGGAUUUUUCUUGUUUGAGUUGGGACCGAUUCCUGAGUAGAGUGAAGGGAAGGACGAAACCUAGUUCCCACCUAGGGCGUUUCCUGUUGAAACAUAGUCCAACCCUUCAGUUGUGGUUUGUCGGGUGAGUAAUCCGGUCGAUUAUUUACCGGUGACGCCCAUAAGUGGGAGCGGGUUGUUACAGUUGGUAUUAGAGCAUGGCUAGCUAUAUAAGUGAGGAAGGCUAGCGUGCUUAAGUGUUAAGUGUGGUCGAUUAAGUGAUUGAUGUGAGAGACUGCUAGAGUAUUGAGUCUAGGGUUGUCUGGCAUGAUUAGAAUGUAAGUCGGAAUGUCUUAACUGCUAAGUUGGGGUCGAGAAUAAUUGAUUUGAAAUUUUGAGAUUUCAAUGUGAGGUUGGUCCGAUAACCUUGAAAGUUGGACAUGUGGACCGAAGACCCUAAGGGAUUGGGUCAAGUCAUUGAGGCCUACAAUGGUAUGUUUGGAUAUCCUUGUUCUUGGGAUGAGAAAAUACCCUCGAUUGAGAUGAUAUACCUGUGAGAGGUAUACGGGUUGAGCAAUGAGGAACCGAAAACCCAAGUGUGGGUGUGGUGUCAAGAAACCCGAAUUUUUGAAUUUUGGGUAAUAUUAAGUGUUCUAGGGAUGAUAACUCCUUGAAGUUGAAGUGUCGAGGCUUGUGUGGGGACACGAAGCCGAGGCAUGACUAGUUCGGGAAGGGAUUAGAGGAGCGUCCCUAUGUCAAGGAUUCGCCGAGCAUGUUCGAGGGAAUAGAGUUAUCCCUUGGAAGCGGUGCAGUAAGGCGUGUGCGCUUGAGAUAAAAUGAGCUAAAGUGGGUGUUAGCUCAGGGCUCAAGGAAAACAGUCGUUAAUCGACUAUGUGACGAGCUCCUGGGAGUAAAGUUAAUUGUAGUAAGGCUUUAUGGGGAGCGUGCAUGUAAUGCAUCUGUAUGUCAUGGCCAAUGACGGCAUGAAGUAAGUAGCAUCCGGAAGGACUAUGAGGGGAGUCAGGAUGCUAAAUGUAUGUGAUGCGAUGUGAUCGUAUUGUUAUGAUGAUCCUAGAGGGGACGUGCCUAGGGUAUAAGUGGACCCUAGUUGGCUUCACGAUGAGGCGAGGUUUAUCUUUGGGAAUGAUAGGCGUGUGGCAAGUGGACCCUAGUGGGUGUUUGCAUGAGAUGGAAGUCCCAAGUGAGUUGAGCUAGAAUCCAGGGGGAUCCAGAUUUGGGAUUAUGGAGUUGGGCAUGCGUUGAUAUGCACGUGAGAGCCAUUGGAUUAGAAGUCCUAGUUAUGUAGGGCUAAGUGACCGUUCAUGUGAUUGAUGGAUGAGGGGCUAAUCAAAACUCUCGUUAUGACGCUUGGGCUCUGGUGGGACGCCUAAGGUAGGGAGAUGAGAGGUGAAUAGACCCUUAUCAUGAUGCCUGGGGUCGUGAUGACGCCUAAGGUCUCGAGACCCUUGAUGGGAGACGCGGAGGUCACCCAAUGAAGGGUAUGAACGGGUGUGUGUGGUCCGAGGGUGAUGAGUGUGUGGCAACAGGACAUCCAUAGGCUAUGCACGUAAUGGAAAUGCCAACUUCGAAUGCUAAAUAGACAAGGGCAUGGUGAGCAAUGUGGAGGCCCCGAAUUGUAAAUUCCAAGUUAUGGAAGGCCAGGCCGAGCGUCGUGACUAAAUGCACUGUGGGUGUGCAAGGAGAGACGAGAGGUCUCGAUUUACCUAGAAAGUAAUGGUAGGUGCCCUAUGGUUAUGGGUGCCGGAGCUUGAGGUAUGAUCUCGUGGGGUAAGAUCAUGAGGCCUCAAGAGGAAAAGUGGUUUGAGAGUCUCGUAAGCGGUAAGAGAUGUAGAGUCUGAAGAAGUGAGGCUCAUGGUAUGAGCUUGAGGUUAUCAAGGCAAGGAUAACCAAGUAAGAUGGUUUUGGUCGAGGGUGGUGGAACCAUCGUAGCUUGGGAGGCUUUAAGUAGCUUCAAUGCUAUGGGUGCAAGGCUCAUAGUGACGGAUUUGAUGCUAUGGACCGUGUGGCAGAGGACUAAUGAGUUGGCUCGUGUUGAGGGCAAGUGGCCCAUGGGCCUGAGCAAUUUAGUGAACUGCCGGUGAUGGUCAGAUCCCGAAGAGCUAGAGCAGCACCUUAAGAAAUUUGAUCAGGUGAGACCGAGAAUCUCCUGCAAGGGAUAGGACAUCUAGGGUAGUCCUAAGGAAUCGUGGAACACGGUAAUGAUUCGAUAGAUUUUGCCGAGUAGGAAGCCUGGUAAGGAUAGGCUACGAGCGUGGCGAGGUAGUCAUGCUGGGUUUGAUAUCAGAAGUGUGACUGGAAGGCUGAAAGUCACAUUAUGGGGUGCGAAAUAGAUCAGAGUGGGACCUGAGCCAUGCUGUUGGAAACUGUUGUUGGGCCAGUGUAAGGGAGCAACACGGUAAUAAUGAUUGGGUGUUGACUCUUCGAAGCACAGGGCAACACGAUGGGGAACCAGUGUUGGGCCAGUGUAUGGGAGUGACAUAGUAAUGAUGACCAGGUGUUGGCUCGCCUAAAGCACAGGGCAACACAGUGAUUAUGCAGGUGGUCAGGGGCUAAAGAUUUGUGAGAUGCACGGUAAGGGUGACGAAAGCUGUAGUCAGUUCCGCAACUUAGCUGUGAGUAAUAAGCAGUGUUGAGGUGGUUUAGUGUCUCGGGAUGUUUGAGAAAGAAACCCGGGAAAAAGAAACGGGUCUAGCGUGGGAAUAACGCUACAGUUGAUGCCUAUUGUUGACGGGUCUAAUGCUAAGGACCACUGGAUAUAAACGGUUAGUUCACGGGAGGGACUGCAGCCCUUUAUGUGGAGUAACUUGUCUGCGGUGGAGACCGUUAGACGCCGAAGACUUGGGGUAUGCUGUAGGUUAUGUUUGGGCCAGACCUAAAAUUUCCGUGAGGGUUGAAGAAUCCUGGUAGUGUCUUUUGUUGUUAUGGUAACAGAAGGUUUGUGAAUCAAUUGGGUGAUAUCUUGUGAUAUGAUAACAAGAUGUGCGGCGAUGCUCCUUGCUAAAGGAUGCUAACGCAGUUGUGGUUAAAUUUAACCGAAAUGAUUAUGGUAAAUUGAGAGGAUGGACCUUGUGUGACCUUGCGGUGAUGCAAGAAGAUGGGUCGAUUGGUGGAGUCGGUAAAUGGCUCUAGAAUGUUACGUAAGUGUCGUGGAGGGCGAGACUUACGAGUUAGAAGCCAACCAUGAGAUGGUAUUAUUGAAGCGUGCAAAAGUUUCAGGUAUGAGGAUCUCUAAUCAUGUGAUGUGAGUUGUGGUAGGCUGAACGUGUGGUUAAGGCAUGGUUUAGAAAUCCGUGAAGGCUCGCAAGUGCACAGUCUAGUGUUAAUCCUGAUGUGUCGAUGCGAAAAUGAGGAAGUAUCCUCAUGUAGCACUGGAUGGAUUUCCGGUUGAUGACACAAGAUUAGUUGCCAGGUGGUAGCACCUGAUGGCAAUGGUGGGAGCUUGAGGCUCAAAGACUGUGACGUAAAGCCUUGUUGAUUGACCGUGUAUAUAAAGGUUCAGCGGGUCCUGGUGGUUAGACUAGGCGAAUUGUGAGAAAGAGAUCCAAGGUGAUAAAAGAUGGUUGGUCAAGGAAAAGUUGUGCCACUUGAAGGAGUGCUACUCUGUAGCAAGAGUUAUAGAUGGUAGUGUUGAAAUGUGGCCUAGGUAGAACUUGAGAUGUUCUCCCAAGAAAAGUUGGGUAUGGGGUCACAACACUAGAUGAACCUCCUAAGGUACAAUAACUCUAUCAGGAGGGAUCACUCGGGAAAAGCCAGAGUAAUAGUGAGUGCCUGAGUAGGAAGAGGAGUCCUACGGCAUCAAGUGGAAGUGUGUGUUCCACAUGAUUGGUUGAGGUGAUUUCCAAUGGGUGGAGUUUAAAUCGAAGUCAUAGUCGAUGAUUUUAAGUGUAGUGCCUGGAGGAAGCAUGUGUUGGUUGUGAGCCGGGCGAUCCGGCUUGAGCUAAUCGAGUUGGUUAGAUGGAAGAUGAGGGUGAAUUUAAGAUGUUGCUAGUGGGUGACGAGAGCUCGAAAGAAGAGCUAGUGGGACGAGAUUGGUUCCCAGAAAUGGUGUUUAGGUGAUGAAAUCACUUGAUAGCUGUGAGUGCUAUACUUAGGGUGAUGCCUUGGUGUGGGCAAUUGAUGAGAUUUAGCCUCGUGGUUAGAGAGGUUAAUGAGAGUGAGGGGAAAUCAUCCGGGGAGCCGAUUGGUGACCGGCUAGGGGUAGCCAAUGGCGACCGAAGACGCCGACCGAUGAUAGCAGCAGGAGCAAUGUAGCGGCCGGCCAGGGUCGUGGGGCGUCGUGAGAGUAGUCGGUCAGUGGCAUAGGUGGCUCCUGAGUCGCGGUUGCGAUUGGAUGUGGCGCUAAGCGAUGGAAAGAGGUCGUCUUAGUUGAUGAUGAUGACAUUAGAGCCAAUGUGGUCGCUCACUGAGGUGUGAGUUGAUUGAAGCAAAAGUUAUAAGAAGUCUGAGAGAAGCCAGAGUCUCUCAGGGUAUUAGCUAGCUGCUAUAAGCAUAGCAAAGUGAUAUGAGGAAGGCGGCCUAAGAGUGGGGUCGUGCCGGUUGCGUUGAGCAGGGAGAUUCAUGGAGCAAUGAGUCUUUUGAGAUGGCAUGGUAGUGUCAUCGUCGCUGUUAGGGAAAAGAUGUCAGGAAGGUUAAAGAUAACCAUUUUGCAUGGUAAGACCUUGAAGCCGAGUGUGAAUGGCCAUGAAGGCUGGUGCCUGUAAAAUUUCAGAUGCAACGACCGUGUAAGGAAAAUUCGUUGCUAUUCUAGUGUUGUCCUUGCCGAGGAGAACAAAAGAAACCAUUAUGCAUGGUUUAAAUCAGGUGUCAAAUGAGGAUUGAGAAUGAACCUGAUUUUGGAUGGCUGAAAGUUUCAUGCCUCUAGAGUAAGAGGCUUUGUUGAGAAAUGGUGAGAUUUGAAAAGUUCCAAUGAAAUUGAAGCUGGGCGAGUAAAUUUGGCUAGAAGACUGCUACAAGAGUAGGGGUGUAACCAUGAUAGCUUGUUGUGGUGUGGACCAAAGGCACGAGUCAUCCUACAAGUGUGAUGCAUAAGUGAUUGUGCAGAUGGUAAUAAGCCAAUCACUUGUGCCACGCACCGUGGGUGAUGAUGAGGGUCGAUUACUGGUUUCGCGACCUUAAGCGCAAUGGUAGGAUCCUGGACUCGUGGUAGGGUUAAACAGCCAAGGUAAGGCCUAGCAUGGGGCAUGACUGUGAAGGCCAAAAUGAGGUGAAGAUUUGUAGGGGGUUGCUCAGUGAAGAGUUCCCUGUUAUGGGUAUGAGACCCUUACUAACGUGCAAUAUCGGCCAGUAAGAAAGGCCAAAGUAUCUCUGUGUGCUUAUGCGAAGAGCUUCUAGUUUGAAGAAGGUUGUGGCCCGAGUAUGGUUAAGCUCGAGGUGAGAAUAUAAUGGUGCGUGCAUCGCUAAGCUCGAGGUGAACUCGGGAAGUGCGUGUAUAGUUGAAAUGUGAAAUGGCCUGGCAUGGUGUUGGGUAAAUCGAUUAUGCAUAAUCGUAUUGACAAAUAAAGGUCGGUUGGUCAAGGUAGAAGACCAUGUAUGAAAUGGUCUGAGUUGGCUGGGUGAGCCAAAUGGUUGCUUCCCAUGUAGUGCUAGCAUGGUUAGUUGAUCGAUAAUGAGAAGUUGCCAUGAGGAUCAACUCAAGCUGUGCAUGCUUGUGAUUAAUGGCGGUAUGCCAUGGUGGCAUAGGUGUCAGAGUGUCUUAUUGGCACUAGAAGUGACAUUGCGGCUGAUGGUCAGUGCUAAAACAUUGCUAGUUGGACCAGCGUAAAAUCGUGGCCAUGUGUGUUUGGCAAUGGGAAACAUUGUCGUGUGUGAUCGGUGUAAAAUCGUGGUAGACUGAUCAGUGAUGCAAUGUUAGAGAGAGUUCGUUUGAUUUGAUGGGAAAAUGGGAAGUAAAUGCAAAGUGAUGCUUCAAGGCAGAGAAAAUUCAUCCAAAGAUGGACAUCGUUGUAGUAAGCACGACCAGCUACUAGUGGUGCGGUUUGGCUGGAGGCCAAACGGUAUUUGGUUGAUAAAUGUCCUCGAGAGUUGGAGGCCCAAAUGCUUAAGUGAAGCCUUGAGAUGGGAAUAACCUGAGGUAAAGGCUGAGAAAUGGUUCGGCUACGGGAUUCUCGAGUAGGGGAUUCGGAUAGUAGCCUGAGAAUAGGAUUGUCUUGAGCAGGAAGUUCUAGUAAAGUGAAUUUCGAGGGCGAAAUUCUUUAAGGGGGUGGAAUGUAAUACCCGGUAUUACAUGGCAUGAAAAAUAAAUAAUUUUGAUUAUUUUGAAAGGAUCCCGGGUGGCCCGGGAAGCCCAAGAGUAAAUUUUGAGAAAUUAAUUAAUAUAAAUUGCCAAGUUGGCGGUAGGGAGUGCCUCGGGACUUGGAUGUCCAGGGAAGAGGGCAAGAGAUUGAUGAGCGUCUCGAGAUGAGAUUAAUGACGCUGGAAGCGGUCCGACCGGGAAUCAUUUUCAGAAUAAUUUCGGUAUAAGCCCAAAUGGGUGUCAAUACUGAAUGGCUGCAGGGGACCUUUGGGAAGCUGAGGGGACCUUUGGGGUGGUCCGAUUUUGAGAAUAAGGUAACCCUUAAGCGUUUUUAGGUCGAAUAAAGGUCCCAUGCAGGCGCAGGGAUGAAAUCAAUAUUCCCGAGUAAAUGUCGUCAAUUAAUUUUUGAGAAAUCAAGUUAUUGUGUGGCUUUGAUGAUAAUUAAUUAGAACUUGGAGGUCCAAGUGUAAUUAUUAGAAUUCCCAAGUGCAAUUAAUGUUUCUUUAAGUGAAAUUAUGAGAAAUUAGGGGGUUAAUUAUGUAAUUAGUUUAUAUAUAUAUAUAUAUAAAGUGGCAGGCGUGAGGAAGCUUCCUUGAAGCUUCGUGCAUCCUUCUGCCAUUUGAAAUGGUCAUACAAAGAGUGGGAAUGAGCGAGCAGAGAGUGAGAAGAAGAGAGGAGAAAGAGGGAGAUCAAAGAGUCGGGCCGAGAGUAGUCGAGAGAGGGAGAUGCCGUGAUGGCCGGCGGCUGGAAGAUGGCCGAUCGAGUGCAGCCAUGGCAGACGCGUGAGGGAGGCAGCAGAAAUCGGGAGGCUCGCGUCAAGGCCUUGUGAUGGAGGCCAGCGUUGCAGUAGCAGAAUGGAUCGGCGGUGCCAGCAACUUCAAGAGGCUUCAGUCGUGGCAUUGGAAGCUCCAACGGCCGUCAAUGGCCGCUGGUUGCAGCGGGGCUGGUCGCGCAUAGGCAGGGCAUGCACGGGGGAGGCCGAUGGCAGUUGCGGCGGCGCGGCCAUAGCAGCGUGAAGCUUCUGUUGCAGCAGCUAGGCUUCCAUGGCAGCGCGCAGCUGCUGCAAGCAGCGAAGUGGGCGAACGAUGGCAAUGGUUGAGGCGCGCGAGAAGGCUGGUUCCGAUUGCAGCGAAUCGCGGCGGAGGUGGUGGCUAGCCUGUGGCCGCGGGUAGUAGCGACGGUCGGUGAGCCAGGUGUGGGUGGCGACUGCCUUGCGCGAAGAAGAAGGAGGAAUAGUGCUCAGGCGUGGGAGAGAAGAAGAAAGGGGAAGAAGGAAUAGAAAGAAAAGAAAAGAAAUAUAUAAAAUAUGGAAAAAUCUGGAAAAUAAGGAAAAAUUGGAAAAAAUUUCCAAAAAUUUCCAGAAAAUUCUAAAAAUUAUUUCAAGGCCUGUAAAGCGUGUCGGAAGCUCAAAAAUGGGGUUUUGGGCGCAAGUGGCAGCUCGGGAGCCAACGCCGGUGUGGGUGUCUGAUCGGUUUUCUCCUUCAAAUUAGUUGAGGUAAAUUAAUUUAAUUAUUUUAGAGUUAUUUUCAUUAUGUGAGAUAAUGAAUUGUGUUGUAUUGGUUGGAUUGAACCCUCGGUGGAGUUGAUUUGAAAUUUGUUGAUGGAUGGUUUUGCGGUGUGGGGCGAAGUUGAUGGCAUUAGUUUAAUGCCGAAUGUUAAUGGAGUUGAGUUUGUGUGUGUGUUUGCUUCUAGGUUUGGCCGGGUAGACGGUGAUCCUAGAAGAGCUCGGAGUUCGGGCUGGAGUUCGUGCCGAAGCAGAGAUGAGGCUUCGAGCCAGGUAAGAGACAACCCCAUGUGGAGGUGGCCUCGCAAGUUGGUAAAUAUGUUUGAUAAUGUUUUUAUGUUGCAUUGGCAUGUAGUGGUUAUAUCUUGUGUGAUGCAAGACCUAGUAGACCAAUGGCCAUAUGGAGGACUAGUGUGGUAGGGGCUGAUAGGUUGAUGCCUCAAACCUUAGUGGGUUGUGAGGAUGUGUGAGCCUAGCCUCAUUUGCAUGCAUUUGGCAUACAUAAACAUGAUUAUAUUCAUAUUUACAUGCAUUGCACCCUUACUGAGUCUUUGUGACUCAUGAGGUUUUACCUCAUGUGUAGAUGAUGCAAGUCCAGAUGCAAGCAGGGAUGGUGCCGGGAGGCUGUUGUGGCAAUUAGCUUGUUGCCUGAGAUGUGUUGUUAUGUAAUCUCAUGUAUUCUUUUAUAUGUAUUCAUGGGUUUGAAUGUAAACGAUAUUGAGCACUAGAUGUACUUAAUUGUUGAAAUCAUCGUAGUGUGAUAAAUGAUUGUGAGAUUGUUCGUGGUAUAUGGCUUAGUUGGAGAAGCCAAGUUUCGGAUCGAGCAAAGAUCAGCAAGGUAUGUUCUCAUAAAUCCUCAAUACUCAGCGACGUGUUUGUAUGCUAGAUUUGUGCCUGGGUCACCUCUGGCUUGUUAUGGGGUGAGCUGAAGGAAGGUGAAGCUCACUCGGGUUUCGGGUCUUGGUCCUCUGGAUUUUUCUUGUUUGAGUUGGGACCGAUUCCUGAGUGGAGCGAAGGGAAGGACGAAACCUAGUUCCCACCUAAGGCGUUUCCUGUUGAAACAUAGUCCAACCCUUCAGUUGUGGUUUGUCGGGUGAGUAAUCCGGUCGAUUAUUUACCGGUGGCGCCCGUAAGUGGAGGUGGGUUGUUACAGGUUUUUUGAUUUGCGUCUAGGGUCGACCGAGGAGGGGGUGAUCCUAGGAGAGUUCAAAGUUCGGGCUAGAAUUCUCGCCCGUGGCAGAGAUAAGGCUUCGAGCCAGGUAAGGGACGGCCCCAAUGGUGGCGACCAUGCGAAUGUUUGGUAAUAUGGUUAAAUAUAUAUUGUGUGCAGUUGUGUGUUGUGCAUUUUCUAUAGGUAGGCUAGUGGAGUCUUAUGGCCAUGGGAGAGACUAGACGCAUGCUAGGGGAAAUUUGGGAGGUUAUUACCUUGAACAAAUGGGUUCAGAGGGCAAUGAUGCCUCGCCAUUCAUGUAUACCUACUUGUUAUUGUAUCUCAUAUAUUAUCUUGUUUACAUUCAUUUGCACUCUUAUUGAGUCUUUAUGACUCAUGAGGUUUUACCUCGUGUUGUAGAUGUUGCAAGUCCAGAUGCAAGCAAGGAUUAUGUUGGGAGGUUGAAGUGGUGACUAGUGUUGUUGCUGCAUUAUAAAUUUUAUUAUCUCCUGUAUGUAUUCAUGUGGUGGUAUGUAUACGUCCUUGUGGGUGACUGUGUAUGUUGUUGGGCACUGAAUGGUAUCCCGUUUGUUGUAAUCGGUAUAAUGUAGUAUUGACUGUGUAGACUUCUGGUUGAUAAUAGCUUAUUUGGUGGAGCCAAGUUUUAGGAUCGGGUAAGAAUCAAAGAGGUACUUCCCAUAAAUCCCCAAUACUCAGUAGAUAUUUGUUGUGCUAGUUUUGUGCCUGGGUCACCUUUGGCUUGUGGUGAGACGAGCUGAAGAAAGGUGAAGCUCACUCGAGUUUCGGGUCCCAUUCAUUGUGUUUCUUUUUAUGUUUUGGGACCCACUUCUCGAGUGGAGCGAAGGGAAGGACGAAGCCUAGCCCCACCUAGGACGUUUCCUGAUGAAACAUAGUCCAUCUCUUCAAUUGGUUUGGUGUUGUGUGUGAGUAAUCUGGUUAAUUAUUCACUGGUAGCGCCCAUAGGUGGGAGCGGGCCGUUACACCUACCCUCUAUGACGUAGGGAAUUUCAUCAACAAAUACCCCGAAGAAAUGGUGGCCCUCAUAGCAUUAAUGAGGGAACGUCCCAGGAUCAUGUUGUAGGUAGGGGAGAAAGUCUUGACUACCAUGAAGUUAACUUGCCAAGUGAUCACUUGGGGGUAGUUCCAGAGUGUAGUUAUAACACCCCAUAUUUUUGUGAAAUUGCCAUGUAUUUUAAGUGAGUUUAAAAUACCAAAAAAUAUGUUUGAAAUGGCAACAAGUGACCGAAUCAGUCGCAAGGAGUACCCUAGAGCUUAGAUACCUAAGGUUAAAGGUAUAUUUUUGACGAGCAUCUCGAGGCGAGAUUUAUGACGCUGAAAGAAAUCAAAUCAGAAAUGGUUUUCGGUUAAGCUAAGUUGUAGCCUAAAAAGAUCGAAUGAUGGUAAGGGGCUUCCGAAAAAUCGUAUAUAUUUAGUAAUUUUGAGUUAUUAAUUUUGGGAUUUUAAGUAUCUCGAUAAAUUUGAUGUCUGAGGGUGUAAUUGUAAUUAGAGAAUUUUCCAAACAAAAUAAGGAUAAAAAUUAAGAGCUUAUGUGGUAAAAUGUUAAAGUUGAGGACUUGAAAUAAGGGCCAAAGUGUUAUUUGAAAGAAGUUUGGGGUUUUAGCUUGGAUUUCAAAAGAUCAAUUCAUUCUAUUUUUGGAUUUCAAAAGCCACUCAAUUAUGGCUUUGAGUCUUUGGAGUCCAUGGCUAAGAUUUUGACAAGUGGCAUAAUAUGAUUGGUUUGAGAAAUCUAUAAAAAGGCACCAUGGGUUCUUCUCAAAUCAUUCCAACCAAGUUUGAGGAGUGAAGCACUCUAAGAGGAGGAGCUUGCUCUAAAGAGAGAGAAGGGAGUUCGGUAAGAAGGCGGGAAGAAAGCGACGAAGAAGCGGCGGAGAAUGAGCCUCAUCGGAGUUGCGGGUCUUCGCCGAAAUUUUCCAAAAUCAGUCAGAAAAAAAGCGAGGUAAGUCCUUUUUUUUGAUAUUCUUGUAGAGGACGAAGAGAGGGUCACGUAGGUUCAAACGGGGGUCGAAUCGGAGUUAAAAUGAGGAAGUUAUGGCCGAAAUACCAACCCGAGGCGAAGUAGUCCGAGACUGCUGUGCAGCGCUUGAGAUACACGCGCCGGAUAAUAGCUGCGCGUGAGGGCGCGUGGCUAGCCUUCUUGGGGCGUGUGAGGGUGCGUGAGGGGUCCUUUUGCCAUGAAAUUUUCCAGUUAUGCCCCUAAUUUAAUACCCUUCAACCCUAUGUAAAAAUAUUUAAGGUUAGGUUUACCAAAACGCAUGUUUUCUGCAGAAACCUAGGCCGUUUGCUGUGAAAUUAUACCGUCGAAGAGAUAAACCAACAAGGUGAGACUCCUAUACUCCAAAUCCUAUUUUUUAUUCUCUUAUGAGAGACUUCUAUUGCAUGAGACGUGUUUCGUGAAGUUUUUACACAUAAACGCUUGUUAUUCUCUUACGUGAAAUCAUGAUGCUUAUAUGAAAUGUAUUUUUCUGAAAAUUAUAUGCUGUUGGCUUUUUAACUGUUGCAUUUAUAAAAUUCGUGUGGCUAUACUGUUGUAUCUAUUUGUUGUUGGUCGAGGGAAAAAGUCGGAUAUCUCCCGAGAGGCGCUAUGCGUGCGCUAUCGAGAAAGCUCUCGUGGGAAAGACCGUGAGCCUAAGGAACAACGGAUGUGGUGUUUGCAUGAGUGCUAUGAGGUCGGGCCGAAGUGACACGGUUAGGGACCUCCCGAGAGGCGCUAUGCGUGCGCCAUUGAGAAAGCUCUCGUUGGAGGAGGCUAACGUGUUCACGAGGCACUUUGGAGUAGUUCUCGUUAUCUUCUCAUACAUUUUAUACCUGAUCAUGCAUCGAUAUAAACUAUUUUUUUGGAGUUUUUCACUAAAAGAUUCAUCCUCUAAUUGGACUAUGUCCCUGGAAUAUUCAAACGUUCUAGGUUCGACGAGCGACUCUAAAGGAAAAGAGGUAGCAGAAGAAUAAGCUUAAUUUACUGUUGUUGUAUGUUUAGCAUAUUUUUGCUUAUGUGCGAACUUAUGUAAUUUUGGAUAUGUUUAAAAUGUUCAAUUAUCACUUGCGAGAGAUGAUGUAAUACAUUUUGUAAACGUCUUAAACAAUUUUAUGAUAAAUAAAGCGUUAUGGUUGUGAACCAUAUCAGGUUCGAUCUAGCUUCCGCAUUUGAAAUUUUAACACCUGUCUUAGCUAUUUAAUAUUGGGUUUGUUAAGUUGAGAAGGUGAAAAUUAGGUUUUUUUGGGGAUAUUGUGUGAUGUAUGGCAGUGAUUGUGGUAUGAAAAAUUUUUAUAUUCCCAAAAUCCUAAGUUAUAACACGCUCAAGAAAAUUGGGGUGUUACAGUAGUGGGUAGCUGAACCGAUCCCACCAUUGGUAUCGCUUCUCCCAUGAAGCUAUACAAAGGGAAAGUGACUGUGUUUAGUCGGUUAUGAGCGAUAUGCAUAUUCUCAAAGCAAUUCUAGUAUAACAGAUUGACAGAGCUUCCGCUAUCCACCAAUAUUCUUGUUAGGUUUGAAAAGUCUACGGUAAGUACUAAGAGGGGUGAACUGGUAUAUUUAAAAAAAAUUCUUUUGAUAAAAAGAGAUGUCGUCUAUGAAGAUUACGACUUUGUUAAACCUCAAAACCUUGAAAUGGCACGAUGAAGUAUCAACCGUAUUUAAGACAAUCUCAUUUUGAUAAUGGAUAACACAAGAACGAAAAAUAUGAAAUCUUUCUUAAUGAAAAAUUUAAAUAUACGAACCAAGAAAGAAAUAACGAAAUGCUUAAAAGAAUGAAGAGGUAAAUGUCACAAGCACAAAAGAACACAAGGAAUUAUAGUAGUUCGGCUUAACUAACCCUAAUCCACUACCUUACCUUCUCACUAAGGAUUUUCAAGCAAAAUACUAUAACUCUCCUACCGCACUGGAUAAGCCCUCUAGCACUAAGUUAGGAAGAUACAAACCUCUUGCUUGAACAAGCAAGCCUUCUAGGCAAAGCUAGGUAUCCCAAAAACCUCCUACAAACAAAGUAGGCCCUCUAGAAAGACAAGCUAGGAUAAUGCAAAUUGUUACAAUAUACGAGAGGAUUUGAGAAACAAUAUUCUCAGUUACAAGUUCUCUUAAAGAUUAAGACAAGGCAUGAAAAAGAAUUACACAAGAUAAAUAUAAUGCCUUUAAAAGAGAACAACUUUACCAAUGAAGCACAAACGAUGAUUUUAGCACUUGGGAGCUUGUAGAUUGAUUGCUUGGGGUAUUUUGAAAUCGCCAAAUGACUUAAAUGUAUAGCCUCUUGAAAGCCUAUGCUUGAAUCAGGCUGUUGUUAGUGGAGAGAGCACUUGAGUGGAAAAGAUGAACUAGCUGUUAUGUGUCUCUGUGAAGCAAACAAUCGACAGAUGCAAGGCAUCAGUAGAUAGAUCAUUUGAGACGUUGACAGUUCCUUGUGCAAGUAUUCUGUUGGUCGACAAAUUCAUAGACAUCGAUCGAUAGAUGGCUUGCCCACCAAAGAAGCAACAAGGAAUGUCAUUCUGCCGGUCGACAGAUGCAAGAGCAUCGGUUGAUAGUUCCUUGUGAAGAUAUAAGAUUGGUAACAGAUGUUUAAACAUUGGUCGACAGAUGAAACCAUACUUUGGAAGAGAUAUACUGCUAGUCGACAGAUGCGUAGGCAUCGAUCAAUAGAUGCAGGUCAAUACAAAGGAUCGAUCGAUAGAUUACAAGGAAACUGUUGACAGAUGAAGGUCUUUCAAUUGACAAUCAUUCUGCCAGUCAACAGAUGAAAACCAUCGGUUGACAGUUGAGCCAAAAUUUGAAAAAUGGUUGACAGGUCAUAUUAACUAGUCGACAAAUGGCUUACUGAAUUUUGAAACAAAUGCUUCUUUUUGGAAUGAAAUGACUAACGGCUUUUACAACCUUUAGAAAAAGAUUAUGCUUUGAAGAUAUUUUGAUUUUGAUAAUGACAAACUGUUUUCAAUAGAAGAGAUUUUGUAAAAGCAAGAGAUGUUUUUCAUCAUUAAAACUAAAGUCUUUAUAUUUGAAUCAUAUAUCUAUCAUGUGAUUCAUCAAUUCUCUUAAUAGGGUGCUUAGCAAUAAUAGCGAAUAUAACCAAAGGAUAAUCAUGAGGGAGCAGCACAUCCCCUUCAUCUUCAGGUGUGAAAAUGAUGGGAUCUUCGUCUUCUUGAACUUUUGCCACCGAGUCCAUGUGCAACACGUGCAUAGGCCUUCUUGGUGGACGAGGAAUCGCUUGCCAAAUUUUCUCCCCUUGAGAUCACGUGUAUCCUCUCCAUAACGGGCUUGUUGUCACUUUCUCUUGGGCUUGAUCCAACUUCUUCUUUCCUCGGAUUGUUUCUUUCCCCUUCCCUCUGUCGAGGCUAUUAGUUUUCCCUUUUGCUCGAGGCAUCAUUCUUAGGAUGAGAAGGCCUCCUCUGAUUAUUUCUCCUGGAUCCGUCUCCCUUACUCUAUUGAUUUUUUGGCUAAUACAAUAUAAAUCGAUCAAGCUUCCCAUCCUAUAUCAGUUGCUCAAUCUGGUUACAUAACUCUCGUCAGUACUCUAUAGUGUGUUUCGGGGACUCGUGAAAUUUGUAGAAAGUAUCAAUGUUCCUGUCCAUAAGCUGGCUGGAAUGUGGAGGAAAGUUAAUGAGCCAGGUGUGUGCAAUGGAUGACAGGAUAGCAGUUGUUCAUGAUUUUAUAUAACCCACGAAUAACACGCAAGUAUAUGCGGUCAAGAUAAGUAAAGUGAUGAAUAAGAUAUUGUUUCCACUGAGAUUGGUUACUAACCUUUUAAAUACUAAAAUUAUUCACAAUUAACUAUAUUUGGACAAUUGAUUAAUUAAGAAAAUUAAUUUGUAACACCCCAUCUCCUAGAACUGUCUGAGAAGAGGUGUUACGGAUAGAAUAGAUAAAAUAAACUAAAACUCUCUGAUAAACUAAAAUCUGAUACCAUAACUGAACAUCUCAAUCAAAUUGAAAUAAAAACUCUGAGUCAAUAUAAACUGAAAACCAUAAUCUCUGUUUAAGGGACAAUCCCUCAACUGAAAUAUAAAAUAAUCCUAAACUGACAAGAUACUAUAAAACUAACAACUCCCAGACAUCUUUGGUCUUGAGCUGCUCCACGUACACUGAUAGCAUGCAUAUUUAUACCAUAUUUUGGCAUUUCACUUCAUUCUUUUUAGGCCAUUUGAAGUAAUUUUUGCUGAUAUUUCAUUGUUUUUAUUUUAUUAUGCUUCAAAUUGUCCUUACACUAUUUUCUAUCUUACUUCUAUG